GAUGAAGAACGCAGCAAAAUGCGAUAAGUAAUGUGAAUUGCAGAAUUCAGUGAAUCAUCGAAUCUUUGAACGCACAUUGCGCCCGCCAGUAUUCUGGCGGGCAUGCCUGUUCGAGCGUCAUUUCAACCCUCAAGCCCUCGGGUUUGGUGUUGGGGAUCGGCGAGCCUUUCUGGCAAGCCGGCCCCGAAAUCUAGUGGCGGUCUCGCUGCAGCCUCCAUUGCGUAGUAGUAAAACCCUCGCAACUGGAACGCGGCGCGGCCAAGCCGUUAAACCCCCAACUUCUGAAUGUUGACAUCGGAUCAGGUAGGAAUACCCGCUGAACUUAAGCAUAUCAAUAAGCGGAGGA
rnacentral:misc_RNA from 1 species